CCUACGGGGGGCUGCAGUAAGGAAUAUUGGGCAAUGGAGGCAACUCUGACCCAGCCAUGCCGCGUGCAGGAAGACGGCCCUACGGGUUGUAAACUGCUUUUAAUAGGGAGUAAGGUUAGUUACGUGUAACUAAUUGCAAGUACCUAUAGAAUAAGGAUCGGCUAACUCCGUGCCAGCAGCCGCGGUAAUACGGAGGAUCCAAGCGUUAUCCGGAUUUAUUGGGUUUAAAGGGUGCGCAGGCGGACUAAUAAGUCAGUGGUGAAAUCUACAUGCUUAACAUGUAUCGUGCCAUUGAUACUGUUGGACUAGUAUGCAAAUGACGUAGCUGGAAUGUGUUAUGUAGCGGUGAAAUGCUUAGAUAUAACACAGAACACCGAUCGUGAAGACAGGUUACGAAUUUGUAAUAGACGCUCAGGCACGAAAGCGUGGGGAUCAAACAGGAUUAGAUACCCCAGUAGUC
rnacentral:rRNA from 1 species